AGACAGUUAAUGAAGAAAUUUGAAAUUUCUUUUUUCAGUUAAUACUGACUGUUUU
rnacentral:tRNA from 1 species